GCCAGUGUGGCAUAAUGGUUUGAGUGCUGGACUACUGCUUUGGAGACUAGGGUUUGAUUCCCUGCAUGGCU